CACGUAGGGGCGAGCGUUGUCCGGAAUCAUUGGGCGUAAAGAGCUCGUAGGCGGCUCGGUAAGUCGGGUGUGAAACCCCCAGGCUCAACCUGGGACGCCACCCGAUACUGCUGUGGCUAGAGUCCAGUAGGGGAGUGUGGAAUUCCGGUGUAGCGGUGAAAUGCGCAGAUAUCGGAGGAACACCAGCGGCGAAGGCGGCACUCUGGGCUGGAACUGACGCUGAGGAGCGAAAGCUAGGGGAGCAAACGGG
rnacentral:rRNA from 1 species